UCUGGUUGAUCCUGCCAGUAGUCAUAUGCUUGUCUCAAAGAUUAAGCCAUGAAUGUCUAGGUUCACACUGUUUGACGGCGAAACCGCGAAUGGCUCAUUAAAUCAGUCGAGGUUCCUUAGAUGACACGAUCCUAUUUGAAUACCUGUGGCAAUUCUAGAGCUAAUACAUGCUUACCAAGCUCCACCUUUUAUUGGAAAGAGCACUUUUAUUAGUUCAAAACCAAUCGCAGCGUGCUCUUCGUGGGAAGCGCGGUGUCCCCAUUGGUGACUCUGGAUAACUUUGUGCUUUGGGCCUUUGUGCCGGCGACGCAUCUUUCAAAUGUCUGCCUUAUCAAAUGUCGAUGGUACGUGAUAUGCCUACCAUGUUUGUAACGGGUAACGGGGAAUCAGGGUUCGAUUCCGGAGAGGCAGCAUGAGAAACGGCUACCACAUCCAAGGAAGGCAGCAGGCGCGCAACUUACCCACUCCCGGCACGGGGAGGUAGUGCCGAAAAAUAACAAUACGGGACUAUUUCGAGACCCCAUAAUUGGAAUGAGGACACUUAAACCCUUUAACAAGGAUCAAUUGGAGGGCAAGUCAGGUGCCAGUAGCCGCGGAAAUUCCAUCUCCAAUAGCGUAUAUAAAAAUUUUUGCAGUUAAAAAGCUCUUAGUUGGAUCUCGGGUGCAGGUGGGCGGUCCGGCUCGCGCCGGUUCACUGCCCGUAUUGAAAUCCUGUCCUACUUGUCUGCCGGCUCUCUCCCGCGGGUGCUCUUCGCUGAGCGUCCCGGGUGGCUGGUGCGUUUACUUUGAAAAAAUUAGAUUGUACAAAGCAGGCAUUCACAAGCUUGAAUAAAAAUUUUAAAAAAUAAAUAAAAAAGAAUCAGGGCCAGACAAGUUUCACAACAAAUUGCUCAAGCAUCUGGUCAAAACAGGCUGGAUAAAACUACUGAGUUUUAUCAACCGAACCUGCACUACAGGUUCACUGCCGAAACUGUGGAAAGAGGCCAUAAUUACCCCAAUACAUAAGGACAGGAAUCCAGGCGAACAACCGCUAAGAUACCGGCCCAUUUCCUUCACGUCGUGUGUGUGGAAGGUGGCAGAACGAAUAGUGGACGCACGGCUUUAUUGGUACCUCGAAAAUACGAAGAUCAUUCUGAAGGCUCAGGGUGGGUUCCGUAAGGGACGCAACCCGAUGGACCAAGCACUACGCUUAAUUUAGACCAUGAAAAACGAACUCCAGAUAAAGAACCACACUGUUGCGGUGUUCUUCAAUCUAAUGCAGUCAUACGAUAAGGUUUGGCGUGAUAGGCUACUUUAAAAGCUGCAGCAUUUCGGUUUCACUGCAAAAAUGUACAGCUGGAUAAAAUCGUUCCUCAUGGACCGAACGAUUAAGACACGGCUUGAAGAAGCGCUAUCCAGUGAGGCACGACUGGAAGAUGGACUCCCACAGGGUUCAGCGCUUAGCUGUACAUUGUUCUUAACCUACGUCCACGACCUACAAAGCAUUCUCGAGUCCAAGAAUGCCAUGUUUGCUGCCGAUCUGGUGGUAUGGAGUUCAGGAAAAGACGUUGCAACACUGCAGAACCGGCUGCAGAACGAUCUGAA
rnacentral:rRNA from 1 species